GACGAACGCUGGCGGCGUGCUUAACACAUGCAAGUCGAACGGAAAGGCCCUUCGGGGUACUCGAGUGGCGAACGGGUGAGUAACACGUGGGUGAUCUGCCCUGCACUUUGGGAUAAGCCUGGGAAACUGGGUCUAAUACCGGAUAGGACUACGCACUGCAUGGUGUGUGGUGGAAAGCUUUUGCGGUGUGGGAUGGGCCCGCGGCCUAUCAGCUUGUUGGUGGGGUGAUGGCCUACCAAGGCGACGACGGGUAGCCGGCCUGAGAGGGUGUCCGGCCACACUGGGACUGAGAUACGGCACAGACUCCUACGGGAGGCAGCAGUGGGGAAUAUUGCACAAUGGGCGCAAGCCUGAUGCAGCGACGCCGCGUGAGGGAUGACGGCCUUCGGGUUGUAAACCUCUUUCAGCAGGGACGAAGCGCAAGUGACGGUACCUGCAGAAGAAGCACCGGCCAACUACGUGCCAGCCGCCGCCGUAACAC
rnacentral:rRNA from 1 species